rnacentral:rRNA from 1 species
CGAUUUCCGAAUGGGGAAACCCAGUGUGAUUCGUCACACUAUCAUUAACUGAAUCCAUAGGUUAAUGAGGCGAACCGGGGGAACUGAAACAUCUAAGUACCCCGAGGAAAAGAAAUCAACCGAGAUUCCCCCAGUAGCGGCGAGCGAACGGGGAGGAGCCCAGAGCCUGAAUCAGUGUGUGUGUUAGUGGAAGCGUCUGGAAAGGCGCGCGAUACAGGGUGACAGCCCCGUACACAAAAAUGCACAUGCUGUGAGCUCGAUGAGUAGGGCGGGACACGUGGUAUCCUGUCUGAAUAUGGGGGGACCAUCCUCCAAGGCUAAAUACUCCUGACUGACCGAUAGUGAACCAGUACCGUGAGGGAAAGGCGAAAAGAACCCCGGCGAGGGGAGUGAAAAAGAACCUGAAACCGUGUACGUACAAGCAGUGGGAGCACAGAGCAAUCUGUGUGACUGCGUACCUUUUGUAUAAUGGGUCAGCGACUUAUAUUCUGUAGCAAGGUUAACCGAAUAGGGGAGCCGAAGGGAAACCGAGUCUUAACUGGGCGUUAAGUUGCAGGGUAUAGACCCGAAACCCGGUGAUCUAGCCAUGGGCAGGUUGAAGGUUGGGUAACACUAACUGGAGGACCGAACCGACUAAUGUUGAAAAAUUAGCGGAUGACUUGUGGCUGGGGGUGAAAGGCCAAUCAAACCGGGAGAUAGCUGGUUCUCCCCGAAAGCUAUUUAGGUAGCGCCUCGUGAAUUCAUCUCCGGGGGUAGAGCACUGUUUCGGCAAGGGGGUCAUCCCGACUUACCAACCCGAUGCAAACUGCGAAUACCGGAGAAUGUUAUCACGGGAGACACACGGCGGGUGCUAACGUCCGUCGUGAAGAGGGAAACAACCCAGACCGCCAGCUAAGGUCCCAAAGUCAUGGUUAAGUGGGAAACGAUGUGGGAAGGCCCAGACAGCCAGGAUGUUGGCUUAGAAGCAGCCAUCAUUUAAAGAAAGCGUAAUAGCUCACUGGUCGAGUCGGCCUGCGCGGAAGAUGUAACGGGGCUAAACCAUGCACCGAAGCUGCGGCAGCGACACUAUGUGUUGUUGGGUAGGGGAGCGUUCUGUAAGCCUGUGAAGGUGUGCUGUGAGGCAUGCUGGAGGUAUCAGAAGUGCGAAUGCUGACAUAAGUAACGAUAAAGCGGGUGAAAAGCCCGCUCGCCGGAAGACCAAGGGUUCCUGUCCAACGUUAAUCGGGGCAGGGUGAGUCGACCCCUAAGGCGA